GGAAAAUCAGCGAAGAUGGCGGCCUCCACGACUUUCACGACAGCCUGCAUCAUAUUUUGUGUCCUUAUUGGAGCAAAUGUCGAAGCAGAAGAAGAAACAAGACCUCCGCAUAUUGCGAUUGUUGGAGGUGGGAUAGGAGGAACAUCUGCAGCCUACUUCAUGAGAGAGCUCUUUGGGAGUGAUGCUGUGAUAGACCUAUAUGAAAAGAACACCAUUGGUGGUCGCCUGGCAACUGUAAACAUCAACAGCAGAGAAUAUGAGUCGGGAGGAUCUAUCAUACAUCCAGAAAAUCUGUACAUGGUCAAUUUUACAAAAAUACUAGGUUUGGAGAAACGAGAAAAAAAUUCUGGUGCAAUCAUGGGCAUAUUUGAUGGUGAGGAAUUGAGACUAACGACUAGUCCUUACAGUGUGGUCACCCUGGCCAAAAUGUUCUGGCAUUAUGGUAUGGACAUCUACAACCUUCAAACGUGGGUCAGCAACAUUCUGGUCAAAUUCAAAAGGAUCUACACAACACAGGAUGCUGGCUAUGCGUAUACAAAUGUUCCAGAACUAUUAGCUUCAAUGGAUCCAUCCUUUGCUAACUACUUAAAAAAAUCUGUGAUAAAGGUUAUGCGUGAGGAAGGAUUUCAUGACGCCCUGAUCUAUGAGCUUGUGUUGGGGGCCAUGCGGACAAACUAUGGACAAGGGGUAGAAAUACCAGGUUUUGUGGGAGCGAUUUCUAUGGCUGGAGUGGAUUCUGGUCUUUGGGCAGUCAAAGGAGGCAAUAAGAUGGUUCCAGAAAAUAUUGUGAAACAUUCAAAAAUUAAUGUUAUUGCUGCAGAGGUAAAAAUGGUAGAGUUUCUGGAAGAUGAACCAUUUCUGUAUGAAGUUUACUACAGGAAAGACAACAACAAUGAAGCCAAGAGCAAACGAUAUGACAUGGUUGUCAUAGCAACUCCUCUUCACGAUGAAAUUUCAGACAUUAAGUUUGAGGGUUUUCAACAAGAUAUUCACAACUUUCCCCAGAAAUAUCACAAGACGGUGGCAACGUUUGUGCACGGUAGAGUGAACAGCUCGUAUUUUGGCGUGGAACAGCCCGCCGACAUGCCAAAUGAAGUGUUUACAUGCAAUAUGGAUUUAUUACUGAAUUCAUUUGGUCAACAUCUUCCUGUAGACUACAAUAGUGCAUCAGAUACAGUUCCACCCAUAGACAGCAACAUUGUAGGUAAACUUUUCUCAAACAGAGAACUGACACAGGAAGAGGUCAAACUAUAUUUUGAAUCCAUAGAAGAGGUUCAUACAGUAUCGUGGAUGGCAUAUCCAGAAUACAAUUUUAAGAAAAUUGACGAUCUACCUCCCUUCCUUUUGAACGAGCGAUUGUACUAUGUCAAUGCAAUAGAAUUAGCAGCUUCAGCCAUGGAAAUGGAAGCUAUAGCAGGACGUAACAUUGCCCUGUUAGCUUACAAUCAUUGGCAUGACAAUCUAGAUAAGAUUGAUGAAAAGUAUGUAGAUCCAGCUCAUGCGACUAGUCCAGAAACUGGUGAUCUGUAAUAUAUCAAAACAGGGGUGAAGUAAGUUAUUGACCAGGUAUAGUGUGGUAACUGCAAUUUACCAGGUAAAGUGUAGUAACUGCAGUUUAUCAGAUAAAAAAUGUUGACUGUAAGUUAUCUAGUACAAUAUGGUAACUAAUUUAUCAGAUUAACCCUUUCACCGCUGUAGACCAUAAUGGGCUCAUCCACAUCAUUGCAUGGUAGAGUCUACUAAUUAUAAAGUUACAUAUGGUCGAAAGUAUGGUAAAUGUAAAUUACCAGGUAAAAUGCAUGUGACAAAUUGUAAUUUACAAAGUAAAGCAUUAUUACUGUGAUUUACUGGGUAAAUACUUAUGACUUGAACUUAAUUAAUAAGGAAAUGAGAAGUUAAAUUAACAAGUAAGACACUGACAAGCUGUUACCAGGCCAAGUAUGACAAACAGUAAAUAAAGGGUAAAGAAUCACUCAUUGUAAGUAAGACCAUGAAAACAUUUGUGAAAUCGGGUAUAACGAAAUGUAAUUAAGCAGGUAUCAUACUUUUAACUUGUGAUUUAUUACUGUAGAGAUAGCACCUGUUAUUUACCAGGCCUGUAAUUGUCUACUGGAGUAGAUACAGUACUGGAAAAAUAAAGAUAUAUAAUUAUAAAGAUACAUAUAAAGAUGGUCUUGACCAAGUUACAUUAUUAGUGUAGUGUAUAUGUGUAUUGUAAUAUACACUUUUAUGGUUGUAUUGUGAUAAGUAAGAUCUAAAUUUGGAAAAAAAAGGUUGAUAACUAAGUUAAACUUGUCCAUUUUUUAUAAGGGAGGUUAGGGGUAUGAAAAGUAUAGAAAAUUGUGAUAAUUGUUUUCAAUGUUCUGGUUUUCAGAUUUAUAUAUUUAUCAAUGUAAGGAUAGUUGCAUAGUUUUCAGGGAAUCACUUUUAGUCUGUUUCCUUUAAUAAAUUUGUAUUCUUUAAUAUGGAACCACCUCAAUCUCAGAUACAUCCCCACCCAACUGUCACAUUAAUAUCCCGGAUUCAUUUAUAAGUCACAAGUCAAUUAUGUUUUAUAUAGGAUGUUUUAUCAUAUAUCCUCUAGCUGCUUUUGACAUAAUUUAUCUAAACCAGGAUGGAAAUUUUGCUAAAUAACUUAUAAUUAGCAGGUAUUUGCUAUAAAAGCUAGUCUAAGCAUUUGUUAAAUAGCGUGGUGAGCUAUCGGUCAAAAUACUCAUAGAUUAAUAACUGCGUAGGACAAACAAAUUAUUGAAGACAUUGUCGUUCAGUAUUUUGUGUUUGUGAGUUAUGUAAAUAUAAAUAUUGCAAUAGGUACAAUCAUUCCUGGUAGUUAAAAUCACACACAAACAUUAUAUAUGUAUGUAGCUACACUCAUAAAGAAAUGAUGCCACAAUUAAAACAAAUAAGGCAUUGGGACUCAUUUGAUCUUCUUUCAUUGGUUGGAACAUUGAUAAUAAUAAUUUGAGGUUCUUAUAUACUGCUUUAUCACAACCUAGUUUGUAGCU
rnacentral:misc_RNA from 1 species